rnacentral:rRNA from 1 species
GAUGAACGCUGGCGGCGUGCCUAAUACAUGCAAGUCGAGCGAACAGACGAGGAGCUUGCUCCUCUGAUGUUAGCGGCGGACGGGUGAGUAACACGUGGAUAACCUACCUAUAAGACUGGGAUAACUUCGGGAAACCGGAGCUAAUACCGGAUAACAUGUUGAACCGCAUGGUUCAACAGUGAAAGACGGUCUUGCUGUCACUUAUAGAUGGAUCCGCGCCGCAUUAGCUAGUUGGUAAGGUAACGGCUUACCAAGGCAACGAUCCGUAGCCGACCUGAGAGGGUGAUCGGCCACACUGGAACUGAGACACGGUCCAGACUCCUACGGGAGGCAGCAGUAGGGAAUCUGCCGCAAUGGGCGAAAGCCUGACGGAGCAACGCCGCGUGAGUGAAGAAGGUCUUCGGAUCGUAAAACUCUGUUAUUAGGGAAGAACAAAUGUGUAAGUAACUAUGCACGUCUUGACGGUACCUAAUCAGAAAGCCACGGCUAACUACGUG